rnacentral:ribozyme from 12 species
CCCAUAAUUCAAUCAGGAAAAAAAAAAAAAAAAACACAAUAAUAAUAAAAUAAAAUAAAAUGGGCUGGUUUCGUCUUUUCCAUACCUUCUUGCUGUUCUUGGGCACAUCUGUAUAUCCAAUUUUUUGUUUUACUUUUACAAACACAUUUUUUUCUCUAAAAACUAGCGUUCUUCAAACGAACGCG